AUGGCCGCUGGCGACGGCGAGCCGGACCCGGCGGUGCAGCAGCGUCCGCAGCUGCAGUCGAAGAAAGCAGAGAUGCUGCGGUCUGUGGACGAGCACUUCCGCGCCAGGGAGGCCGCCGGCGUGCCGAGGAAGCACACCCACCACCACAUCGGCGGCAUUGACAAAAUGAUCGAGUUCAUGGAGGAGUACGGCGGCCUGACGCCGAUGGAGGACUGGAAGGAGGAGCUGCUGCUAUCGAGCAUGGCGAGCAUGUGCGACGACCUCGAGACCUUCCGCGACCGCGCCAACGACGGCGAGAACGUCCGGAAGGGCCUGCAGGGAUGGCGCGGCGGCUUAGAUGCUCAGGCUCAAUACAAAACCAUGGAUGCUGCUGCUGAAGCUGAUGGGUUGGCCAUAGAUGAUUAA
rnacentral:rRNA from 1 species